rnacentral:rRNA from 1 species
CAGACGGGUGGAAGCAUGCCCGUAAGGACAUGGUGACAGUAUGGGAGGGAGAAUGGUGGAAUGAGUAGGGAGAUGUGGGGGAUAAUCCCGCAGGCCGUAAACCCAAGGGUUCCAGGGGAAGGUUCGUCCGCCCUGGGUUAGUCGGGACCUAAGCUGAGGCCGAAAGGCGUAGGUGAUGGACAACAGGUUGAUAUUCCUGUACUACCGAUAACCGUUUGAGAGAAGGGAUGACACAGUAGGAUAAGCUAAGCACACUGUUGGUUAUGUGUGCCCAAGCAUUGAGGCAGUCAAAGUAGGCAAAUCCGCUUUGAUAAUGCUGGGAUGUGAUGGGGAGCGAAAUUUAGUAGCGAAGUAGCUGAUUUCACACUGUCAAGAAAAGUCUCUAUCGAGGUUAAAGGUACCCGUACCGCAAACCGACACAGGUGGGUGAGGAGAGUAUCCUAAGGCCA